GAAGGUUAAAAAAUCAAAGGAACUAAGGGCGCACAGUGGAUGCCUUGGCACUAAGAGCCGAUGAAGGACG
rnacentral:rRNA from 1 species